rnacentral:rRNA from 1 species
AUACGGAGGAUGCGAGCGUUAUCCGGAUUUAUUGGGUUUAAAGGGAGCGUAGGUGGGAUAUUAAGUCAGCUGUGAAAGUUUGGGGCUCAACCUUAAAAUUGCAGUUGAUACUGGUUUCCUUGAGUACGGUACAGGUGGGCGGAAUUCGUGGUGUAGCGGUGAAAUGCUUAGAUAUCACGAAGAACUCCGAUCGCGAAGGCAGCUCACCGGGCCGGAACUGACACUGAUGCUCGAAAGUGCGGGUAUCAAACAGGAUUAGAUACCCUGGUAGUCCGCACAGUAAACGAUGAAUACUCGCUGUUUGCGAUACACUGUAAGCGGCCAAGCGAAAGCGUUAAGUAUUCCACCUGGGGAGUACGCCGGCAACGGUGAAACUUAAAGGAAUUGACGGGG